GGGCCGAGCAUAUCCUGUCCAAAUCCUGUCCUAUACUCCUAUUUCGUCAUCCUCCAGGAGUUGGUGAUGGCUGCUUUUGUAGGGGAACUUUUUUUGUGAGUUUGGAAUACUCUGUUCAGUCGCUGUUGAUCAUACCUGGGCCCAAGCGGCAGCAGCCCGCCGCGGUAUAACCCAUUUAAUGUUCCAUGUUACGCCGCCCUUUAUAUGAUGCUCUCUAAUUCUGGUCAAGCGACCAGUUUCCAGAUAUUCUGAGCCAAGUAUGCAUGAAAAUAUCAUCACAGC
rnacentral:sRNA from 1 species